GANCCAGCCAAGUAGCGUGAAGGAUGACUGCCCUAUGGGUNGUAAACUUCUUUUAUAAAGGAAUAAAGUCGGGUAUGGAUACCCGUUUGCAUGUACUUUAUGAAUAAGGAUCGGCUAACUCCGUGCCAGCAGCCGCGGUAAUACGGAGGAUCCGAGCGUUAUCCGGAUUUAUUGGGUUUAAAGGGAGCGUAGAUGGAUGUUUAAGUCAGUUGUGAAAGUUUGCGGCUCAACCGUAAAAUUGCAGUUGAUACUGGAUAUCUUGAGUGCAGUUGAGGCAGGCGGAAUUCGUGGUGUAGCGGUGAAAUGCUUAGAUAUCACGAAGAACUCCGAUUGCGAAGGCAGCCUGCUAAGCUGCAACUGACAUUGAGGCUCGAAAGUGUGGGUAUCAAACAGGAUUAGAUACCCUGGUAGUCCACACGGUAAACGAUGAAUACUCGCUGUUUGCGAUAUACGGCAAGCGGCCAAGCGAAAGCGUUAAGUAUUCCACCUGGGGAGUACGCCGGCAACGGUGAAACUCAAAGGAAUUGACGGGGGCCCGCACAAGCGGAGGAACAUGUGGUUUAAUUCGAUGAUACGCGAGGAACCUUACCCGGGCUUAAAUUGCAGAUGAAUUACGGUGAAAGCCGUAAGCCGCAAGGCAUCUGUGAAGGUGCUGCAUGGUUGUCGUCAGCUCGUGCCGUGAGGUGUCGGCUUAAGUGCCAUAACGAGCGCAACCCUUGUUGUCAGUUACUAACAGGUUCCGCUGAGGACUCUGACAAGACUGCCAUCGUAAGAUGUGAGGAAGGUGGA
rnacentral:rRNA from 1 species